rnacentral:rRNA from 1 species
UCCCGUUGAUCCUGCGGGAGGUUGCUGCUAUUAGGAUUCGACUAAGCCAUGCAAGUUAGGUAAUCUCGUAUUACCAGCAGAAUGCUCAGUAACACGCCGAUAAUCUGCCUUUAGGUCUGGAAUAACCUUGGGAAACUGAGGCUAACACCGGAUAGGGAAAGAUACUGGAAUGUUCUUUCCUUAAAACUUCGGUGCCUAAAGAUGAGUCGACGGUUGAUUAGGUUGUUGGUAGGGUAACGGCCUACCAAGCCGAAGAUCAGUAGAGGCCUUGAGAGAGGUAGCCUCGAGAAGGGCACUAAAACACUGGCCCUAGCUCUACGGAGUGCAGCAGGCGCGUAACCUUUACAAUAUACGAAAGUGUGAUAAGGGAACCCUAAGUGCUUAGCUUAUGCUAGGCUUUUGCCAAGAGUAAAUAUCUUGGCGAAUAAGUGGUGGGAAAGACUGGUGCCAGCCGCCGCGGUAACACCAGCGCCACAAGUGGCAACCAGUAUUAUUGGGCCUAAAAGUUCGUAGCCGGUUUGAUAAAUCUUUUGUGAAAUUGUUAUGCUUAACAUAACAACGUGCAGAGGACACUGUUAGACUUGGAAUCGGGAGGAGUUAGAAGUAUUUCUGGGGUAGCGGUAAAAUGCUAUAAUCCUUGAAGGACUACCGGUGGCGGAGGCGUCUAACUAGAACGAAUUCGACGGUGAGGAACGAAAGCUAGGGGAGCGAUCCGGAUUAGAUACCCGAGUAGUCCUAGCUGUAAACGCUGCGAGCAAGGUGUUGCAUAAUCCUGUGAUUAUGCAGUGUCGAAACGAAGGUGUUAAGCUCGCCGCCUGGGAAGUAUGGUCGCAAGACUGAAACUUAAAGGAAUUGGCGGGGGAGCACUACAAGGUGUGCGGCGUGCGGUUUAAUCUAAUUCAACGCAGAGAAUCUCACCAGAGGCGACGGCAGGAUGAAGGUCAGGCUAAAGACUUUACCAGACAAGCCGAGAGCAAGCGCAUGGCCGUAGUCAGCUCGUCCUGUGAAGUCUCCUGUUAAGUCAGGCACCGAGCGAG